AUGAGCUCUGAUGAAGGCAAGUAUAGCAGUCCAAAUGAGGGCGCCUACACCAGCUCUGAUGAAGACAAGAGCAGCAACUCUGAUGAAGGCGCUCACACCAUCCGUGCUAAAGGUGUGCAUAGGCGCAUGAAGGAAAAAAAGCCUUGGAAGGCAUGCAUGAACAUCUGUGAUUGCCCUAAAGAGUACACAGUUGGCUAUAAUCCAAUUACUAAUGCUAAAUGCAUGUAUUCAAAGAGAUUUAAGAUGUCAAUGUGUGCUUGGAAGCGUCUCAAGCAUUAUGUUGAAUCAGUUGAGCCUGCUAUCGGCCACUAUGUUUGUCAGCUGAAUAAGACUUUUGCCAAGCUUGGGCAGAGAAUGUACUUUUCAGCUGUGUUUAUGAAGAAGCAUCUGGCGGAUUUCAUCGCCACUUCUGUUGAUGGGGUGAAGAUUCAGCUAUCAUCUGGACGUUGCAUAAGGCGUGUUCUAUUAAUGGUGUGGACAACAGGGCUACCAUAA
rnacentral:rRNA from 1 species